UACGUAGGGGGCUAGCGUUAUCCGGAAUUACUGGGCGUAAAGAGUGUGUAGGCGGUGUUCCCAGUCUGUUGUGAAAUCUCCCGGCUUAACUGGGAGGGUGCAGCGGAAACUAGAAUGCUAGAGGGUGGGAGAGGUAAGCGGAAUUCCUGGUGUAGCGGUGAAAUGCGUAGAUAUCAGGAGGAACACCGGUGGCGAAGGCGGAUCUCUGGGCCAUUACUGACGCUGAGGAGCGAAAGCGUGGGGAGCGAACAGG
rnacentral:rRNA from 1 species